GGGUCUCAAGCUUAAGUGGUAUAAGCAUCCCGCUCAUAACGGGGAGAUACAGGGUUCAAAUCCCUGGAGACCCACCA
rnacentral:tRNA from 1 species